UACGUAGGGCGCAAGCGUUGUCCGGAAUUAUUGGGCGUAAAGAGCUCGUAGGCGGCCAGUUGCGUCUGCUGUGAAAUCCCGGGGCUCAACCCCGGGCGUGCAGUGGAUACGGGCUGGCUAGAGGCAGGCAGGGGAGAACGGAAUUCCCGGUGUAGCGGUGAAAUGCGCAGAUAUCGGGAGGAACACCGGUGGCGAAGGCGGUUCUCUGGGCCGGUACUGACGCUGAGGAGCGAAAGCGUGGGGAGCGAACAGG
rnacentral:rRNA from 1 species